rnacentral:rRNA from 1 species
AGGCCAGACCUCAUUAUCAAAGCCUGAUCUCAUCAGACCUCAGACGCUACGCAAGUGUGGGCCUGGUUAGUCCUUGGGUGGCAGACCACUGGGAAUGUGCCCCAGUGGCAAAAACUG